AUCUCGCUCUGUCCUGCUAAGAAUCUGCCUGCCUGAGUGAUGCAGCCAGGCUCCCUUGUUCCCUGGGGCAAGGAACCAGUAGAGGGAUAGGGAAUCACAGUGUUUCCCGGCUGCAAGGGCCCUUGGAGAUGGUUUUACAGAUGAGGAAGCAGAGUCCAGAGAAAGGAAGUGAUCUGCUGGGAACCACUGUACUUUUCACACAAGCAACUUUCCGGGCAUCUGCUAUGUGCUGUCCACAGGAUGGCGAGGGGUCCUAUCUCCAGUAAUGGUAUCUGCAAAGGAGUGCAGCUCCCAGCCUGCUAUCUGCAGGAGCCCGAGUGGGGAAGCCUGUGUAGUCUCAGGUCUCAGCCUUGACUUUCACGGUGUGACUGUGGUGUCUCAGGACUCUGCGACCCAGGAUCAUCAUUGUGACCAUCUUCCUAGUCUUCACUGCUUCCUUUACACCUCAAUUCUGAGGACCUGCUCUGAGCCGCACACGGUUCUGGGCUCUAGGAAUGGCGGAGGACUUGGGUGCCACGAGAGCACCAGGUAGUAGCUCCAGCUCAGCCUCCCCUAACCCUGACUCAAACAAAACCAUCAGAUGCAUCCCCUACCACUAUCUAUCUGUCUGAGGAUUCUCAGAACCUUUCCACUGGUGGGAAUGUAAAGUGAUGCAGCCCUGCGGAAAGAAGUUUGGCCAUUCCUCAAAAGUAUAUUAUAUAGAAUUACUAUAUGACCCGGCAACUCCCCUCCUAGGCAUAUGCCCAAAAGAAUUGAAAGCAAGGACUCAAACAAAUACUUGGGCGUACAUGCUUAUAGGAGCAUUAUUCACACUAGCCAAAGGUGGGCACAGUUGUCCAUCAGCAGAUGAAUGGCUACACAAGGUGUAGUAUAUACAUACAAAGAAAUACUACUAUUCAGCCAUAAAAAGGAAUGGAAUUCUGAUACAUGCAACAACAUGGAUGAACUUCAGAAACAUGCUAAGUUUCUAAGCCAAGCUAACAUGCUAAGAAGCCAGACACUGAAGGUCACAUAUUGUAUGAUUCUGCUUAUAUGAAACAUCUGGAAAGAGACAGAAAGCACAUCAGUGACUGCCAGGGCCUGGGAUGAGGAGAACUUGGGAGUGAUUGCUUCGUGGGCAUGAGUUUUCCCUUUGGGGUGAAGAAAAUGUUCUGCAACUAAAUAGAGGCAGCAGAUGCAUGACACUGUGAAUGUACUAAGUGCUACUGAAUUGUGUUUAAAAUGGUUAAUUUUAUAUUAUGUGAAUUUCACCUCUAAGAAUUUUUUUUUCUUUUUUUCUUUUUUUUUUUUUGAGACCAAGUCUCACUCUGUCACCCAGACUGGAGUGCAGUGGUGCAAUCUUGGCUCACUGCAACCUCUGCCUCCUGGGUUCAAGUGAUUCUCCUGCCUCAGCCUCCCAAGUAGCUGGGACUACAGGUGCCCGAUACCACACCACACCUGGCUAAUUUUCGUAUUUUUAGUAGAUAUGGGGUUUUGCCAUGUUGGCCAGGCUGGUCUUGAACUCCUGACCUCAUGUGAUCUGCCCACCUCAGCCUCCCAAAGUGCUGGGAUUACAGGUAUGAGCCAACAUGCCUGGCCUAAG
rnacentral:lncRNA from 1 species